rnacentral:snoRNA from 1 species
UAUAUGAUCUCAUACCAGUACUGUGUAGCGACAUAACAGUAAAGUAUAUGGACGUACUAGUACUAUGUAACGACAUAACAGUAAAGUAUAUGGACGUACUAGUACUAUGUAACGACAUAAAUACUUUACUGUUAUGUCGUUACAUAGUACUAGUACGUCCAUAUA